rnacentral:rRNA from 1 species
UACAGAGGUCCCAAGCGUUUGUUCGGAUUCACUGGGCGUAAAGGGUGCGUAGGCGGUCGGGUAAGUCUGAUGUGAAAUCUCACAGCUUAAACUGUGAAACUGCAUUGGAUACUAUUCGGCUUGAGAGUUGGAGGGGGGACUGGAAUUCUUGGUGUAGCAGUGAAAUGCGUAGAUAUCAAGAGGAACACCAGUGGCGAAGGCGAGUCCCUGGACAACUUCUGACGCUGAGGCACGAAAGCUAGGGGAGCAAACAGG